GUGGGGAAUCUUCCGCAAUGGACGAAAGUCUGACGGAGCAACGCCGCGUGAGUGAAGAAGGUUUUCGGAUCGUAAAGCUCUUUCGUUAGGGACGAACGUGCUCUUUGUGAAUAAUGAGGAGUAAUGACGGUACCUAAAUAAGAAGCCACGGCUAACUACGUGCCAGCAGCCGCGGUAAUACGUAGGUGGCAAGCGUUGUCCGGAAUUAUUGGGCGUAAAGCGCGCGCAGGCGGGAUAUCAAGUCUGUCUUAAAAGUGCGAGGCUCAACCUCGUGAGGGGACAGAUACUGGUAUUCUUGAGUGUCGGAGAGGAAAGUGGAAUUCCAAGUGUAGCGGUGAAAUGCGUAGAGAUUUGGAAGAACACCAGUGGCGAAGGCGACUUUCUGGACGAUGUCUGACGCUGAGGCGCGAAAGCUAGGGGAGCGAACGGGAUUAGAAACCCGUGUAGUCC
rnacentral:rRNA from 1 species